UUUAUAGUCAGAGGUGUACACUAAUAUGUCGCGGCACUUUUGAAUUGUUGAGUUUUAACGAGAUUUUUACUCAAAAAACAGCAGAAGACAAUGAAUCGACAUUAAGCUCUUACGAAUCUCAACGAUUUCCCUUCGAG